rnacentral:rRNA from 1 species
UUUGGAUUUUGUGCCGGAUGAAGUCCUUUGGAACAAGGCGUCAUGGAGAGUGAAAAUCUCGUACGUCUGGACACACUAUCCGUGUAAAACUCCUUCAAAGAGUCAAGUUGUUUGGGAAUGCAGCUUAAAGUGGGAGGUAAAUUUCUUCCAAAGCUAAAUAUCAGCCAAAGACCGAUAGCGUACAACGUAGUGUGAACGAAAGAUGAAAAGCACUUUGAAAAGAGAGUUAAACAGCACGUGAAAUUGUUGAAAGGGAAGCGCAUACAGUCAGACAUGAUUUGUCAGUUCAGCCUUUUGGUGUACUCUGACAGAUCAGGUCAACAUCAGUUGUGGCAGUCGGAUAAAAGUGUCGGAAAUGWAGCUCCUCCGGGAGUGUUAUAGUCCGAUACAGAAUGCGACUUGCUGCG